rfam:Mesocricetus auratus contig088669, whole genome shotgun sequence.
GCCAGGCACAGUGGCUCACCCCUGUAAUCCCAGAAGCUACUUGGGAGGUUGAGACAGGAGGAUCGCUUGAGUUCAGGAGUUCUGGACUGUAGUGUGCUAUGCCGAUCGGGUGUCCGUACUAAGUUUGGCACCAAUAUGGUGACUUCCCGGGAGCGGGGGCCACCAGGUUGCCUAAGGAGGGGUGAACCGAUCCAGGUCGGAAACGGAGCAGGUCAAAACUCGGUGCUGAUCAGUAGUGGGAUCGCACCUGUGGAUAUUUCUUAAUAUGGGCUAGCAUUCUGAUUUUUACACUGGAAAAGCAAAAUUAAGGCUUUC